rnacentral:rRNA from 1 species
AAACUAACAAGGAUUCCCCUAGUAACGGCGAGCGAAGCGGGAAGAGCUCAAAUUUGAAAGCUGGCACCUUUGGUGUCCGCGUUGUAAUCUCGAGACGUGUUUUCCGUACGGCGCUAUGGACAAGUUCCUUGGAAUAGGACAUCGUAGAGGGUGAAAAUCCCGUACUUGCCAUGGAUGCCCCGUGCUUUGUGAUACACGCUCCAAGAGUCGAGUUGUUUGGGAUUGCAGCUCAAAAUGGGUGGUAGACUCCAUCUAAAGCUAAAUAUCGGGGAGAGACCGAUAGCGAACAAGUACCGUGAGGGAAAGAUGAAAAGCACUUUGGAAAGAGAGUUAAAAGUACGUGAAAUUGUCGAAAGGGAAGCACUUGAAGUCAGCCAUGCAGUUCGGAACUCAGCCUUGCAUUUUUGCUUGGUGUAUUUUCCGAACAGCAAGUCAGCAUUGAUUCGUGCCGCCGGAGAAGGGUGCUUGGAAUGUAGUGCCCUCGGGCAUGUUAUAGCCUUGCACUGGAUACGGCGGCGUGGAUCAAGGAACGCAGUGCGCCCUCGUGGCGGGUCUUCGGACACCUUCGCACUUAGGAUGCUGGCGUAAUGGCUUCAAGUGGC